UAGGGGAGCCGCAGGGAAACCGAGUCUUAACCGGGCGUUAAGUUGCAGGGUAUAGACCCGAAACCCGGUGAUCUAGCCAUGGGCAGGUUGAAGGUUGGGUAACACUAACUGGAGGACCGAACCGACUAAUGUUGAAAAAUUAGCGGAUGACCUGUGGCUGGGGGUGAAAGGCCAAUCAAACCGGGAGAUAGCUGGUUCUCCCCGAAAGCUAUUUAGGUAGCGCCUCGUGAAUUCAUCUCCGGGGGUAGAGCACUGUUUCGGCUAGGGGGCCAUCCCGGCUUACCAACCCGAUGCAAACUGCGAAUACCGGAGAAUGUUAUCACGGGAGACACACGGCGGGUGCUAACGUCCGUCGUGAAGAGGGAAACAACCCAGACCGCCAGCUAAGGUCCCAAAGUCAUGGUUAAGUGGGAAACGAUGUGGGAAGGCCCAGACAGCCAGGAUGUUGGCUUAGAAGCAGCCAUCAUUUAAAGAAAGCGUAAUAGCUCACUGGUCGAGUCGGCCUGCGCGGAAGAUGUAACGGGGCUAAACCAUGCACCGAAGCUGCGGCAGCGA
rnacentral:rRNA from 1 species